rnacentral:lncRNA from 10 species
GGAAGGGCCACUGGAUUGUGUGAAGACUGUGAGCUGUGUCCACUGCAUUUCUCCAGCCCAUGCAACCCGGCAUCACGAGGAAGGGGGUAUGGGGUCCAAGCUGCCACAGUGAGACCCAGGAAAGGAAAGACGAACCUCUUUUCCAAGGUUCUGCCUCUGUAGCUCUGGACAGUUACAGCCAGGCCCUUCACAGGACUCCUGCUCAGAAAUGAUGGAGCCAUCCUUGCUGCUGGAUGUGACCUGCCUCCACCCCUUGCUGAUGUGGGUCCCUGCUGGAAUCUCCACUCUGCCUGCACCUCCCCCAUCGAUGCUCUGGUUCACUCACAAAGGUAUCCUUCAAAGAGAGAGACUUGACUGCAGAACAGAGGACGGCAAUGUGACAUCAAAAGAAGACACUGGAGAGUUGUGGCCAGGAGCCAAGGAAUGCUGCCAACCACCUUAGAUGCUAGAAGAGCCAAGGAACAGGUUCUCCUCUGGGGCCCUCAGAAAGAACCACCUCUGUUAACACCUUGAUAUUAGCCCUGUGAGACUCAUUUUGGACUUCUGACCUCCAGCAUUUAAGAGAAUAAAUGUGUGUUGCUUUAAGCCACGAAACUUGUGGUAAUUUGUUAUAGCAGCAAUAGGAAACUAAUACAGUGCUAUUCAGCCCAAUCUUCCAGUGUAGUCCUGAUGCCAAAACAAGUGUCCCGUGGACUCCAUAGAUACACCAGAAUUUGUCACUGUCCCAGUAUAGAGUCAGGAAACCACAUCUCUAUUUCCAUAGUGUUACCACUGAGGAGAAUCCUGAAGUUCAGAGAGGGGAAGUGACUGCUUAAAAUCCAUCCUAAAUUCACAAUGAUGAAGAUAGGACUCAAAUCCAGUGCCUCUUGCUUCCAUAUGAAUC